rnacentral:tRNA from 1 species
CAGAUAAUAAUUUAAUUAAAAUAUAAAUUUUGGAGAUUUAAGUUGACUAUUCAAGUCUUUUCUGA